AACAGAGCAGAUCUUUUUCUGUCAAGUUACUACUGUUUUCUGAAAAACAACUUUCACAUGUUUUCUGGAGAGUCUAAAGGAUUACAGUGUGUGAUGUCUUAAGUUCCUUCUUGAUACUGGUUGAAGUACAAAACAACUAUAAGAUGUGGACUCUACAUGGCCUCUGUGGCAUUUUGAUCAGCCUUUACUGUGUCACAAAAGUAAAAGGGUAUGGCAAUGGAUUCUUCCCGAAUGUAUGUAAGACAAUGAUGCCUGCACACAAGAGAAACGGUGUGCUCAUCAGUCCUCAGGAGGGACAAGCACCGUUUCACAUGAGGUUUCAACAUGACAAAGAAUUUGUCACAGUUUCCCUAAUCAGCAAUUCCCCCAGUACCUUCAAAGGAUUUAUGUUGGAGGCACGAUUAAGUAACCAGUCUUUGUUUGGAGAUUUUAUUAAGACUGACCCCCAGACUCAGGUACUGACGUGCCAGGAUA